AACGUAGGUGGCGAGCGUUAUCCGGAUUUACUGGGCGUAAAGGGUGUGCAGGCGGGCUGUUAAGUGGUGCAUGAAAUCUCCGCGCUUAACGUGGAGAGGCUGUGCCAGACUGGCAGUCUAGAGUACGAGAGAGGGUUGUGGAAUUCCGGGUGUAGUGGUGAAAUGCGUAGAGAUCGGCAGGAACACCCAGGGGGAAACCAGUCGACUGGGCAUCGUACUGACGCUGAGGUGCGAGAGCGUGGGGAGCGAACGG
rnacentral:rRNA from 1 species